rnacentral:rRNA from 1 species
UACGUAGGGGGCAAGCGUUGUCCGGAUUUAUUGGGCGUAAAGCGCUCGCAGGUGGUUCGUCGCGUCGUGCGUGAAAGCCCCCGGCUCAACUGGGGAGGGUCAUUCGAUACUGUCGGACUCGAAGGCAGGAGAGGGAAGCGGAAUUCCCGGUGUAGUGGUGAAAUGCGUAGAUAUCGGGAGGAACACCAGUGACGAAGGCGGCUUCCUGGCCUGUUCUUGACGCUGAGGCGCGAAAGCUAGGGGAGCAAACGGG